CACGUAGGAUCCGAGCGUUAUCCGAAUUUACUGGGCGUAAAGCGCUUGCAGGCGGUCUGAUAAGUUGGAUGUGAAAGCUCCUGGCUCAACUGGGAGAAGUCGUUCAAAACUACCAGACUAGAGGACGGUAGAGGGAGGUGGAAUUCCCGGUGUAGUAGUGAAAUGCGUAGAUAUCGGGAGGAACACCAGAGGCGAAGGCGGCCUCCUGGACCGCACCUGACGCUAAGAAGCGAAAGCUAGGGGAGCGAAC
rnacentral:rRNA from 1 species